rnacentral:rRNA from 1 species
UACAGGGGGGGCAAGCGUUGUUCGGAAUUACUGGGCGUAAAGGGCUCGUAGGCGGCCAACUAAGUCACACGUGAAAUCCCCAGGCUUAACCUGGGAACUGCGUGUGAUACUGGAUGGCUUGAAUUCGGGAGAGGGAUGCAGAAUUCCAGGUGUAGCGGUGAAAUGCGUAGAUAUCUGGAGGAACACCGGUGGCGAAGGCGGCAUCCUGGACCGGCAUUGACGCUGAGGCGCGAAAGCCAGGGGAGCAAACGGG